rnacentral:rRNA from 1 species
AGUGAACGCUGGCGGCAGGCUUAACACAUGCAAGUCGAACGAGUGGCGGACGGGUGAGGAAUACCUCGGAAUCUACUUUGUCGUGGGGGAUAACGUAUGGAAACUUACGCUAAUACCGCAUACCAUCGAAUGAGCCGAUGUCGGAUUAGCUCGUUGGCUGGGUAAAGGCCCACCAAGGCGACGAUCCGUAGCUGGUCUGAGAGGAUGAACAGCCACACUGGAACUGAGACACGGUCCAGACUCCUACGGGAGGCAGCAGUGGGGAAUAGUGGACAAUGGGCGCAAGCCUGAUCCAGCCAUACCGCGUGGGUGAAGAAGGCCUUCGGGUUGUAAAGCACUUUUGUUGGGAAAGCGGUACCCAAAGAAUAAGCACCGGCUAACUUCGUGCCAGCAGCCGCGGUAAUAC